rnacentral:rRNA from 1 species
CACCAGAUAAGACAGCUGAAUGAUAGUCGGGCUGAAGACUCUACUUGACUAGCUGAGAGGAGGUGCAUGGCCGUCGUCAGUUCGUACUGUGAAGCAUCCUGUUAAGUCAGGCAACGAGCGAGACCCACGCCAACAGUUGCCAGCUCGUCCUCCGGGAUGGUGGGGACACUGUUGGGACCGCCUCUGCUAAAGAGAGGAAGGAAUGGGCAACGGUAGGUCAGCAUGCCCCGAAUUAUCUGGGCUACACGCGGGCUACAAUGGGUGGGACAAUGGGUAUCGACACCGAAAGGUGAAGGCAAUCUCCUAAACCCAUCCGUAGUUCGGAUUGUGGGCUGCAACUCGCCCACAUGAAGCUGGAAUCUGUAGUAAUCGUGUCUCAAAAUGGCACGGUCGAAUACCUGUCCCGCUCCUU